rnacentral:rRNA from 1 species
CCUACGGGGGGCAGCAGUGGGGAAUAUUGGUCAAUGGCCGAGAGGCUGAACCAGCCAAGUCGCGUGAGGGAUGACGGCCCUACGGGUUGUAAACCUCUUUUGUCGGGGAGCAAAGAGAGUCACGUGUGGCUCAUUGAGAGUACCCGAAGAAAAAGCAUCGGCUAACUCCGUGCCAGCAGCCGCGGUAAUACGUAUGGAGCAAGCGUUAUCCGGAUUUACUGGGUGUAAAGGGAGCGCAGACGGCAGGGCAAGUCUGAUGUGAAAGUCCGGGGCUCAACCCCGGGACUGCAUUGGAAACUGUCCGG